rnacentral:rRNA from 1 species
UGCAAGUCGAACGCUUCUUUUUCCACCGGAGCUUGCUCCACCGGAAAAAGAAGAGUGGCGAACGGGUGAGUAACACGUGGGUAACCUGCCCAUCAGAAGGGGAUAACACUUGGAAACAGGUGCUAAUACCGUAUAACAAUCAAAACCGCAUGGUUUUGAUUUGAAAGGCGCUUUCGGGUGUCGCUGAUGGAUGGACCCGCGGUGCAUUAGCUAGUUGGUGAGGUAACGGCUCACCAAGGCCACGAUGCAUAGCCGACCUGAGAGGGUGAUCGGCCACAUUGGGACUGAGACACGGCCCAAACUCCUACGGGAGGCAGCAGUAGGGAAUCUUCGGCAAUGGACGAAAGUCUGACCGAGCAACGCCGCGUGAGUGAAGAAGGUUUUCGGAUCGUAAAACUCUGUUGUUAGAGAAGAACAAGGAUGAGAGUAACUGUUCAUCCCUUGACGGUAUCUAACCAGAAAGCCACGGCUAACUACGUGCCAGCAGCCGCGGUAAUACGUAGGUGGCAAGCGUUGUCCGGAUUU